UCUCGAUAGCGUAAAAGUUAACUCAAAUUUGUAAGGGGUUGGAACGUUUGCCUAGAGCGCUGUUCCAACUGCAUACAAAUUUGAGUUAACUUUUACGCUAUCGA
rnacentral:pre_miRNA from 9 species